AGUGGAGUUACUACAGGCUAACCGUGGAGUUACUACAGGCUAACCGUGGAGUUACUACAGGCUACCAGUGGAGUUACUACAGGCUACCAGUGGAGUUACUACAGGCUACCAGUACCACUGGAGUUACUACAGGCUCUCACUACCAGUGGAGUUACUACAGGCUAACCUUACUACCAGUGGAGUUACUACAGGCUACCAGUGGAGUUACUACAGGCUAACCGUGGAGUUACUACAGGCUCUCAGUACCAGUGGAGUUACUACAGGCUAACCAGGCUACCAGUGGAGUUACUACAGGAUAACCAGGCUACCAGUGGAGUUACUACCACUGGAGUUACUACAGGCUACCAGUGGAGUUACUACAGGCUCUCAGUACCAGUGGAGUUACUACAGGCUCUCUCUACCAGUGGAGUUACUACAGGCUCUCAGUACCAGUGGAGUUACUACAGGCUCUCAGUACCAGUGGAGUUACUACAGGCUACCAGUGGAGUUACUACAGGCUCUCAGUACCAGUGGAGUUACUACAGGCUAACCAGGCUACCAGUGGAGUUACUACAGGCUACCAGUGGAGUUACUACCAGUGGAGUUACUACAGGCUCUCAGUACCAGUGGAGUUACUACAGGCUCUCAGUACCAGUGGAGUUACUACAGGCUCUCAGUACCAGUGGAGUUACUACAGGCUACCAGUGGA
ensembl:lncRNA